AUUGAACGCUGGCGGCAUGCCUUACACAUGCAAGUCGAACGGCAGCACGGGGGCAACCCUGGUGGCGAGUGGCGAACGGGUGAGUAAAGCAUCGGAACGUGCCCUGGAGUGGGGGGAUAACGUAGCGAAAGUUACGCUAAUACCGCAUAUUCUGUGAGCAGGAAAGCAGGGGAUCGCAAGACCUUGCGCUCUGGGAGCGGCCGAUGUCGGAUUAGCUAGUUGGUGGGUAAAGCCUACCAAGGCGACGAUCCGUAGCGGGUCUGAGAGGAUGAUCCGCCACACUGGGACUGAGACACGGCCCAGACUCCUACGGGAGGCAGCAGUGGGGAAUUUUGGACAAUGGGCGAAAGCCUGAUCCAGCCAUGCCGCGUGAGUGAAGAAGGCCUUCGGGUUGUUAAA
rnacentral:rRNA from 1 species